AGCUAGGUCCCGCCGCCGCCCCCGCCGCCUGCUCCGAUUCCGGCGGGAUACGGGAGGUCCUCCACCCUGCUGCCUCGACCCGACGGCCUGCUGACCCGAAACGACGGCCUACUGCCCAUUCCGCCAAUCUGCCAAUCUCUGCAGCAAGACGAUGUUUCGAGGUGGACACAGGGGCCGGCGUUGUCGGGGUGCUUGAGGAGCGUUGCCGGAGGGUCAUUGGUCUUCUUCGCCGGCUGUCGGUCACGCUUCGAGGGUGAUUGAAGCAUGCCGCCAAAAAAAAGGGGUGGCGGUCUUAAAAAGAAGCUCAAGGACUUGGUAGGUGUAGGGACUUCGAGGCGGGGCCGAGCUACUACCCCCCCUCCUAGCCCCCCUCAUGUCGCUCCCACAGGGCG